AAGGAUAACGUGUGUCUUGUUGCACACAGUGAGGCCUAGCGAAUAGCAUGUAAUGUGGAUAUAUGACCGUUUAAGUGUUCGAACAAAGAAAGGUGUGUUUCCGAACUGUGCGUUUCCUCGAAAGGCCUUUAUUUGCCGUGGUUGUUGGUCAUUAACAGGGACAACAGGCGAAAUUCGUGAUACAUGUUACUGCCUGUGUAUCACUCCUACCUUGUUCCGUCGUUUGCGCGUUAUAACAAUGCAACAAUGUAGGAAAGCGUCGUAAACUGUUAGUGUUUUCAUCAAGGCACACAGGUAUAUGUAAGAAGAAAAAAUAAAUUUUGGGUCGCAGGUCCACUUGGGGCGAGCGAAGACGACGACGAUUUAGGGCAUCUACUGAUUGCGGAACAAGAUUUGUUUCGUGAGCAUCUGCCUCACUUGGGCACCACGACUUGCUUCUGUAAUUCUUCUACUAUGUUCUCUUAAUCUGAUGCCAGCAUACUUUUGCAGGAUCACUUUUGCCAGUGAAAUUAUGUGAUCAGGCUCCUCUGCAUAGUGCUGGCACAGUGGUAGCUUGUCACCGUGUGUUAGGAUGAACUGAUUAAACGAUUUCAAAACGAUCGCCCGCACUACAAGCUUCACAGACCUCAAUUUCUCGGGACGAAAGGUCUGCUCAGCGCUACACAGCAGACGUGUAACAAAGGAGGAUGGUUUAACCAGCCCUCCAUUGUCCCUGAGCAUGAUGAGAACACUUGAUGUCUCGUCAUCUAGGAGUGUGUCCAAACAACCAUUACAGGUGAGUUUUGAGGAGACAAUUCUAACAACAUAUCCUCCAAUAUAGGCAACAAUGUCCUCGCUGAACCUGCUGAGUCUGGAUGAUUCCCCGUAGUCAUGGUCAGCACACUGUAGAAGGGCACAGAUGUUGUCCUCUGCAGGAACUUCUGCAGUGGGAGUCUCCUCACCUGCACUUUCCUCCCUUCGCGGCUUGCCCUGGUGACCGAGUGUCUCUAUGCCUUCCACUGUAGGCGCAACAUUCGCAGAGCUUGGGGCCUGAACUUCAGCGUGUAUCAGAAGCUUCCUGUAGGCAUGACGGAAAUGGGAAGCUGAUGGGUUAUUAUUCCAUCCUCCUCUUUGCCUGAUGCAGCUGAAGAACAGUUACAAGUGGUCCUGGCUGAGGCGACCUCUACAUGUUACCUGCAUGCGCCCGCCUGGAACAGCGCUUCUGCCAGCUGUGCAACACUUUUUAGCGUAAAGGCCACGCUGAUGACUGACAUGCGUCUCCCAUGCUGAGCAGCUAGCUCCCCGGAUGGAAGUCGCAGUGUCAUCAUUCUUGACGACAAUCUUUAGUGGCCACAGUCAUGAAAAUGAAAGGCCUACUCAUCUACGUCGGCAAUGAACGAAGCGGUUGCGUCACUUCCUUCAAAUUCGGUCAAUCCCAGGAGCCGUGCGUGGGUCAGGGCUUUGCUCACGGAUGAACUUAGAGUCUGCGCUGCAAGGCGGACCUUCAUGAUCUGGCGGCCAAACUCAAUAUGGGAUCUGGGUCAGUUGCAGCCGUCGACGGACACCACGCAGGUACUGGUUCUUCUCUCGAAGUUGUCUCAUUCCUGUUCUUGGCGUUGUUUUGCUGUGCAGCAGAAGAACCUGACAGCAGAAAGCAGCAGGAAUAAGAAAUGACAUACUGACAUAUACUCACUGCUUUCCGCUUUUGUGGCAGCUUACAGUAGGGAUGGUCCUCAUGGUCAAACAGGCAGUGGAACAGCUGGAGAAGGGACGGCGGGCUCUGCUUGCUCAGCACUGGCUUCAAGCAUUUCCUGAACAACAUGCAGUGAAGGCAGUCAUACAGGGGGGUGGCUGCACAAACUACUAUGUACUUACCAGGGAAACUGUGUCAGCACCACUUUCAUCUCUUUCAUCUGGCUGGCUGGCUGUUACUUGGCUCUAAAAAAGUUCUUCCAUUACUAUCUCCUUUUG